AUGUGGAAGCAGUUCCUUGGUAAGCUCUCGGGGAAGUCGCCGAAAUCCGGCGGAGGCGGGGGCUGGGGAUCUCCGCCGCCCAAGUCCCCAAUGUCGUAUGACGUGAAUGGGAGGCAGUGGGACUCGAUGCGGGCGUCUCCUCCGCUCGCGGCUAUCGCCGGAGCGGAGGGGGAGACAAGGGAGGACGUGUUCCUCCGGAAGCUGAACGUCUGCUGCGUGUUGUUCGACUUCUCCAACGACCGGGGCCGGGACUCUCCGGAGAGGGAGAGAAAGCGGCAGGUGCUCAUGUCUCUCGUCGACUGCCUUGGCACGGCGGAGGAGCCCCUCACGGAGGCGAUGGUCUCGGCCUGUGUGCGUAUGUUUGCCAUCAACCUGUUCAGGGUCUUCCCGCCCAAGGUCCGGCCAGGCACCGGGGCAGCUGCCGAGGCUGACGAGGACGAUCCGUUCUUUGACCCCUCAUGGUACCACUUACAGGUCGUAUACGAGCUGCUCCUCCGGUUCGUCACCUCUCCUGUCGUUGAUGUGAAGGUGGCUCGCAAGUACAUGGACAAUUCCUUCAUCUCCAGGCUGCUUGAUUUGUUAGAUUCUGAUGAUCCUAGAGAAAGGGAUUGCCUGAAGACAGUAUUGCAUAGGAUAUAUGGAAAAUUCAUGGGUAAUCGGCCCUUCAUCCGCAAGGCUGUGAGUAAUAUCUUCUAUAGGUUUGUAUCCGACGCUGAUCGUCACAAUGGGAUUGCCGAACUCUUGGAGGUGUUUGGGAGUGUGAUUAGUGGGUUUGCGAAACCACUGAAGGAGGAGCAUAAGUUAUUUCUGUGGAAGGCAUUGAUUCCUCUUCAUAAACCGAAGACAGUGGGCAUGUAUCUGCCGCAGUUGACAUACUGCAUUACACAGUUUAUUGACAAGGAACCAAAGCUCUCAGGGACUGUGAUCAGAGGCCUGUUGAAGUACUGGCCAGUGACGAACAGUCAGAAGGAGAUGAUGUUCUUGGGGGAGUUGGAGGAGGUGCUGGAAUUGACAGAAAUGCCUGAAUUCCAGAAGUGCAUGGUCCCAUUGUUUCGGAGGGUUGCACACUGCUUGAAUAGCUCUCAUUUUCAGGUUGCUGAAAGAGCCUUAUUCCUGUGGAACAAUGAGCACUUGUUCGGUUUGAUCUCUCAAAACCACCAAGUUAUCUUGCCAAUCAUAUAUCCAGCUCUCGAAAGGAAUGCUCGUUUGCAUUGGAACCAAUCGGUUCUGAAUGUUACAAUGAAUGUCAGGAAAAUGUUCUUUGACAUGGAUCAGAAGCUGCUGUUGGCUUGUCAGAAAAAUUUCCAAGAGGAGGAAGAGAAGCAAGCCGCAACUGAGGAGCGGAGAAGGCUUAUAUGGGAGCACCUCGAGAAGAAUGCCGCAUUCCAUCCAGUAACCAGAGACAUCAGCUUUGCUGCUUUUCCUAAACCCGCUCCUCUGGUAGCUCCAACUAUGACAUAA
rnacentral:rRNA from 1 species